rnacentral:rRNA from 1 species
UGCCAGCAGCCGCGGUAAUACAGAGGUGGCAAGCGUUGCUCGGAUUUAUUGGGUGUAAAGGGCAGGUAGGCGGCUUUAUAAGUCUGUUGUGAAAUCCCAGGGCUCAACCCUGGAACUGCAAUGGAAACUGUAAAGCUUGAGUACUGUAGAGGUGAGAGGAAUUCUUGGUGUAAGGGUGAAAUCUGUAGAUAUCAAGAGGAAUACCUAUGGCGAAGGCAUCUCACUGGGCGGUAACUGACGCUGAACUGCGAAAGCUAGGGGAGCAAACAGGAUUAGAUA